GAUGAAGAACGUAGCGAAAUGCGAUAAGUAAUGUGAAUUGCAGAAUUCAGUGAAUCAUCGAAUCUUUGAACGCACCUUGCGCCCUUUGGCUAUUCCGAAGGGCAUGCCUGUUUGAGUAUCAUGAACACCUCAACUCUCAUGGUUUGCCAUGAUGAGCUUGGACUUUGGGGGUCUUGCCGGCCUAUGGGUCGGCUCCUCUCAAAUUAAUCAGCUUGCCAGUGUUUGGUGGCAUCACAGGUGUGAUAACUAUCUACGCUUGUGGUUUUCCAUCAGGUAACCUUCAGUGAUGGAGGUUCGCUGGGGCUCAUAAAUGUCUCUCCUCAGUGAGGACAGCUUUUUUGAACGUUUGAUCUCAAAUCAGGUAGGACUACCCGCUGAACUUAAGCAUAUCAAUAAGCGGAGGA
rnacentral:misc_RNA from 1 species